CCAAGCCGCCAGCUCCACCGUCCCCACGUCCGCCUUCACCCGCUCCUCCGUCUCCCAAGCCCCCUUCACCAAAGCCACCGUCGCCCGCUCCCCCAUCCCCCAAGCCCCCGUCACCCAAGCCGCCGUCUCCCGCUCCCCCGUCUCCGAAGCCACCUUCACCAAAGCCACCGUCUCCCCUCCCACCUUCACCAAAGCCACCGUCUCCCCUCCCACCGUCACCAAAGCCACCAUCUCCUAAGCCACCAACCCCACCAGUU
rnacentral:lncRNA from 1 species